GUACAAUUUUUAUUUAUAUAUUUAAAGGACAUUAUACUUUUUAUCCGUUUAUAGUUACGUUUGUGAUGUUGGUGAAAUUAGUUAGUUCCUGUUGUCACUUGCGUUAUAGCAGCUAUAAACAGUUGUUCCAUUACCACUCUCUCUCUCUCUCUCUCUCUCUCUCUCUCUCUCUGUGUAUGUGUAUGUGUGUUGGCAUAUUAGAGAAACCGUAAAGAAGUGUAAACUCCUCUGUCCUGGAAACUUGGUUACAGCUUUACCUCUGACUGUUACAAAGGGCUGACACUGUAGACUUCUUCUCAACACGUUACAUAAACAUCUCCUUACAGACCAAAGCUGACGUGGGGUUUUUUAAAUUAUUAUUAUUAUUAUUUUUUUUUAAGUUAAUCUGGCGCGUCCACUAUACAUGAGCGGUUACUAUAAAAACAAAACGUACCAGAACGAGCACGUUAAUAUAAACCCGUGAUUUGCAGCUGCACUCCUGUCAGAGCUGCAUCUAUAAAAGUUUCGACCGCAAGCACGGUCAAAUUCUCGAUUCUGGAUUUUCAGGAGGUGUUGAUUCAUUUCUCGGGAACAUGACAAGCUGCAUCUCUUAUUAUUGUUAUUUUUAUUAACUUGGAGAGAGAAUAUAGAGAGGGGUGGUGAGGGAACGACUAUUUAUAGCUGCUAUAACAUAAGCGAGAACAGGAACUCACUUGUUCUGCUGACGUUCCAUGAUAUUAAAUGUAAGUGUAAAUGGAUAAAAAGUAGCUCAUGGCAAAAUGCUGUAGUCAGGCCAUGUCAUACCACCUCAUCGCUGGUUAUUUUCAAAACGGCACCCCUGCCCCGUUUACUGUAGUAUUUCUAAAAUAAAAUGCAAGUGAUUCAAGGAGGCCUUAGGUGCGUUUCGAUUUUAAAAAAAUUGUAGAACAAACUAUCUGAACUAUUUUCUAGGUUAAGCAACGACAGCAUGUCAGACCACGCCCACAUCUCGUUCGUUUGAAUAUCGUUUUCAGAAUGACCUUGAAAUGCGUAAUAAUACCACAGCCUAAACAGCACGUUGCUCUGCAGUGGUAUUGUAGUACUCAGAGUGGACUAGUCACUUGGGGUCGAGUAACUUGAUGCCGAGACGUCGUAGCUCGUUUCUCGAACCAGCGCUUUUGAGGACCUUUAGCUACACGGAUGUUUGCCAGCUGGAGGCAGAAUGUGGCGAUCAGAUCUAUCCAAUGAGGUGCCAACUGAAGGAGCCAGCCAAUCAGAAAAAGCCUAGCCAAUCAGAAGAGACGGAGGAAAAUCUGUCCUCUGGAAGAGAAGCUAUAGCUGAAGGGAGUCUCCAGCUCAGAGAGAGACGGAGUGAGACAAGCGACAGUCUUAUUGAGGAAAAGCUUAUUUCUCAUGUAAGACUAGCGAGAGUGAGGUAUUAAACAUGCAGGACUGAUGACUGAACCAGAGGAUGGAUUUCUUUCUUCCGUGUGCAGCUUUUCCAGCGCAGAGAGCUGAUGAAUGUUUCCCUGAGAAGGGUGUUUCAGGAUGAGGAGCAAAAUGGCGGCUGCUGCUGCUGCUGCAUGAAGUUUUAAAUUUUUUUAAAUGGUUUUUUAUGUCAAUUUUUACAAUAAAAUUUUAAAGAAAGUG
ensembl:lncRNA